AUCAAGCUGAGGAGUCACGAAUAGGACGAAACGUGCGUUCUGGAU
rfam:Schistosoma rodhaini strain Burundi genome assembly, scaffold: SROB_scaffold0012759